CGGGGUGAGUAAUGUAUGGGGAUCUGCCUGAUGGCGGGGGAUAACUACUGGAAACGGUAGCUAAUACCGCAUAAUGUCUACGGACCAAAGCGGGGGACCUCCGGGCCUCGCGCCAUCAGAUGAACCCAUAUGGGAUUAGCUUGUAGGUAAGGUAACGGCUUACCUAGGCGACGAUCCCUAGCUGGUCUGAGAGGAUGAUCAGCCACACUGGAACUGAGACACGGUCCAG
rnacentral:rRNA from 1 species